rnacentral:lncRNA from 1 species
CCUUAUGCCAUUCUCAAUUAUAUCAAAGAAACCCAAUGCAAAGUUGUAGUCGUAAUUCUGUAACAAAAUAUGGUAUCCAAAAGCAAAGAUACACAUCUUGUCUUGAUGAUGUAAGUAAAGACGAUAUAUUUACUUCAUUGGUCCUUUUUAUGUGGAUUAUCCGAAAUUUAAUACUUCAGCCCGAGCUCCAAUUUUUUUCACUAAGGUUUUGCUAAUCCCAGCGAUAAAUUGCCUUAGUCGUUUUAUAGAACUAGUUUUGGGAUUUUUUUUAUUUAAAUGCUCUUCAGCUUCGUACGCCCCUUCGAUUAUUACGAAUCUAGUGCCACUGAUGAGCUUUAUGUGUAUCCCAUUUAAAGCCUUGUGUCGAUGCUUACUUUUUCUGUCUUUUAAAAAAAUUAUAAAGUCUUAUUUGAAACUGGUUGACUAGAUUUUCUUUGACGUAGUAAUGAUUGCAUUUAUUUUCUCUUUUGCUUGUAAAAAACAGGUCCUGUGUUUACCUGCUCUACAUUGACCAUGUAGCAAUCAAUGUUAAAAACAUACAAAACUUAAGAAAAAGGUGUAUGCAUUUCAGGUUUAGGAUUUAUUUUGUCAGUGGUGGACUUCUUAGAAUCCUUGGUCUUUUGUCAGAUGUGUGGAAUCCUUGGUAUUUUUCUUCUUUUAUCUAUUAACUACUAUAUUUGUCAAUAUGUAAUCAUCUACAAACGAAAUUCAAGUGCCUUGUCAAAUUUACUAUCAACUUCAACAAAUUAUUUGUUGGUAUCUUUGUUAUAUUUAUUUGUACGUUUUAGUCAGUGUUUUUUUUCCAUGCGAUACAAAAUAAAAUAUUUUGCCCCAUAAUACCUAUUUAUUUUUUUAACAUAAGACUUAAUAGCUCAUAAAUGGUCAUUUGACAGAAUUUAAGCAGAUUCUUGUUUUUUUUCUUUUGAUUUGAGACCAAAAUAAUACCAAAUGCAAAUAUAAGGUAAAAGUCAGAGUCAGCCUUUUCCCGCCAUAUUCUAUAAAUCAAAUAUAUCGAAAAGGAGCUGCAUGAUCUAUCAAUAUUUUAAGCUUAUUUUUAUCCUUAACGAAUGCUCUACAAGCUUAUACUUUCAAUUUUAAAUUCUUGAUUUAUUAUUUUUCACCUCACCUCACCUAAGUGCAUCCUUAAGUAUAUAUGACGUUCAUUAUCAUUGGACUAGUACACAUUUUUGUUUCGGGGACAGCUAAAGCACGCCUCCGGGUGCUGGAUUUGCUCGCUGUGUUGAAGACCCUUUGGUAGACUUCUGCUGCUUUCUGCUCUUUGGAUGGAGUUUGUCUUUUUAACAAAUUCUCAAUUUCCAUUCUCAAUUUUAUUACCUAUACACGAAUAUGUUUUGUGGUGUUGAGUAUUGUUCAACAAGGUAAGGUUCUGGGCUAGUGGUUAGGUCCUAAUUUUAAGGGGGUUUUCUUUCUUAUAUUUAAUCAGAAAGGCUAUCAACUAAUAAAGUACAUUUCAGCAAAACAAUAUUUCAAAGGAAAUGAAAUUCGAAUCUAUUCUGAUGUGACAUUUUUUGGAAAUAUUUGGUUGGUUACAAAUGUAUAUAAAGGGAAUCACUGAAGCAUGACUACAGCGGACCCUGUCUUUGGCAGUCAAUGGGUCCCUUCUGUAUUCAAUUUAUGGAUACGCCAGUGUGAACAACGGUGCAAAAUAUAUUAUACAUAUCCCUUAUCAUACCGAUGGUCGUUAAAUAAAGGCAACAGUAGUAUACCGCUGUUCAAAACUCGAAAAUCUAUGGACAAAAAACAAAAUCGGGGUUACAAACCAAAACUGAGGGAAACGCAUUAAAUAUUAGUCCAGUCAAACUAAGAUUUAACCUCAAACAAAUUGCAACAGAAAAUGUUUUAGUUCUAAUCUAUAGCAUUAUGCCCUUUAUAUACACAGAAAAAAGUCCCAUAAAAUCUAACUUGAGGAA